rnacentral:piRNA from 1 species
UUCAGAACACAUGUCCUCUUGCCCUAGG